UAUUGUUGCCAGAUUGCCUGGGACAGGCAGCAACAAGAUCACUAGUGAUCCGUAUGUGACGGUUUCAGUUGCAGGUGCUGUGGUUGGGAGGACCUUUGUGAUUAGUAAUAGUGAGAAUCCUGUUUGGGAGCAGCAUUUUGAUGUUCUGGUUGCGCAUUAUGCUUCACAGGUGCGUUUUGUUGUGAAAGAUAGUGAUGUGGGUUCACAGCUCAUAGGUGUUGUGGCAAUCCCAGUUGAGCAGAUAUAUUCCGGCAUGAAAGUUGAGGGGACUUAUCCGAUUCUUGGUUCCAAUGGGAAGCCUUGUAAGCCUGGAGCUGCUUUGAGUUUGUCGAUUCAGUAUAUCCCUAUUGAGAAAUUGACCUUUCAUAAUAAUGGGGUAGGUUUGGAUCCUGAUCACCAAGGGGUUCCUGGCACUUACUUUCCUGUUAGGAGAGGCGGUAAGGUUACUUUAUAUCAAGAUGCUCAUGUGCCUGAUGGUUGCCUUCCGAGUAUCAAGCUUGACGACAAUGUUGAGUAUGAGCAUGGGAGUUGUUGGCAAGACAUAUUUGAUGCAAUAAGUCAGGCUCGUCAUUUGAUAUACAUUGUGGGAUGGUCAGUGUACCACAAAGUUAGGUUGCUCCGGGAUGGUAGAACAGAUUGCAUGUUAGGUGAUCUUCUUAAGAUCAAGUCGCAGGAAGGUGUGAGAGUGCUGCUUCUUGUUUGGGAGGAUCCAACUUCUACCAGCAUUAUGGGAUAUAAAACGGUAAGCCCUUAGAAGAUAUAAUAUAUUUCCUUGUGUGAUUUUCCUGCACUGUAACAUACUUUUGGUUCAAGUGUCAAUGUUAUAUUAUCUUUUCACAGAUAUGGUUGCUCUGAUUUCUGUGCUUUUGUUGAACAAUUAAGUUAUAUUUGGCCUGAUGUUGGGCUCUCAAAACGCCUUUGCAUAUCUGAUAUAUCCCUUUCUUAGAAUGUAAUGAUGAUGAUCAAUACUUUUAGCCAUGGGAAAGCAUUCCUGUAGGUUUUCAAAUGCCAUAUAUUCCAUGCUUUCUUGUUGGCUUUGUUUUUGGCAAACAUGAUAAAGGUGAAGCAGUUGGCUAAUUUUUGAUAAUGUCAUAGCAGAAGCGACCCAAAGUGAAGUGCAUACAAAUUUGAUUUUAUUUUCCAGCCUAUAUUCAUUCUCUGUCAUUCAUACUGAUCAUUUUUAUCCUCUAUGCACAAAAGCUUAUGCUUCAUUUGCCUGAUCCUGUGUUUUACUUAAAUUAAUACUCUAGAAGACUAAUAUUUUGUUUCUCCAUUGGCUAUUCAUUUAUCAUUUCAUAUUUCACUAGAUGUUGAUACUGCGUAAUAUGUAGGAUGGAAUCAUGCAAACCAAAGUUGAGGAAACUCGCCGUUUCUUCAAGCAUUCUUUAGUCCAAGUGCUACUUUGCCCUCGAUCAGCUGGAAAGGGUAGCUGGGUCAAGAAACAGGUUUGACAAAUUGUUCUUGUUUGUUUGUACCUUUUAGCUUGACGUGGUUGAAAUGUCAUUUACUUAUCUAACUACAAUACUAGAAAAUUAAAGAAAUUCAAAUCAACACAGGAGAAUCUUGAUGGUCUUGAUCUGUUCCAGGCAUAAAAGUUACUCUUAAAUUUGGAGGACUAGGAAGAGUUUUCCCUUUGAGGUCUCUUGACAUGUUGAUAGUAUUAUUCAGAAUAUCAACAUUUCAUAUGGCAGAAUUAACCUUAUUUUAUUGAUGUGAAAUGAUAUAUGCCACCGUGCAUUUUGUUUUCAUGCUAAAAUCUGCUUACAAGUUUUUCUUUUUCACUGGUCCCAGAAUUCUGAUCUGUUCUUUGAAACUAUAGGCACAUACACAAAUCUUUGAUUUAUGUUUGCAUGUGCUGUGUACUCCAGGAGAGACUCAGCGGUUGCAUAUAGUUUCUUUGUCUGUAUAGUGUAUACUUAUAUAAUUUCUGAAUAAUUCUUGCUUCGCAUCUCUUGGUUUUGUAUUUGGUUACAGGAAGUAGGAACAAUCUAUACCCACCAUCAGAAAACAGUGAUUGUUGAUGCUGAUGCAGGUCAGUUUAGAAGAAAGAUAAUUGCAUUUGUUGGGGGUCUGGAUCUGUGCCUGGGACGCUACGAUACUCCAGAGCAUCCUAUAUUUAGGACUUUACAGACAGUCCACAUGGAUGAUAAUCAUAACCCUACUUUUUCGGUAAGCAUCUUAUAUAUUUCUGCUUUGUUGUAGGAUGCUCUUGUUUAAGCCAUCUUAUGUGAUAAGACUCAUUUGUUACUGGCCAGGAAUGGUGGCUAGAAAAUGUUAUUUGUUGAACAUAAAGCAACUAAGCAUGUACCUGGUUUAAAUGCUAACCUUAACUUGUAAUUGAUUGACUUGGCUAUUCACAAAUGAGGACAUGAUCAGAUAUAUUCACAAAAAUGGAUGAUAAUAGCUCUAGGAUUUAGGGGGUUACACCGACCAUUGGCGAAUCUUUCUUAAAUAUAUCUCAUAGUUUUGUGAUUCUACAGAUCUACUUUAGUUUUGAUAUUGGUUUCGUAGCUGAUAACAAAGAUUGGGAUAACCUUGAUGAUUAGAUCUCCAUUAUGAUUAUCUAUAUUGUUUUCGUGUUUGACCUUUUAGCCCGUUUGCUUUUUAACACAAACAGGACCGUGUUGUUGGUUGUCCAAGGCAGCCAUGGCAUGAUUUGCACAGUAAAAUUGAAGGUCCAGCAGCAUACGAUAUCCUCGCCAAUUUUCAGGAGCGUUGGUUAAAAGCUUCAAACCCACGUGGGAUUCAGAAUCUAAAAGCACAUGAAGAUGCAUUACUCAAGAUUGAGAGGAUCCCUGAAAUUAUGGGGAUGGCAGAUCUUCCUCAACCGAGUGAGGAUGAUCUAGAAGCUUGGGACGCUCAGGUAUACUGGAUGACAAUCAGCUAUUUCGGAGUUGUUUAAUGAGUAUUAUAUGUAUGGUAAAGUGUUGACUGUUUCUGAACAAUUGAAGGUUUUUCGUUCAAUUGAUUCCACUUCUGUGAGAGGAUUUCCAGAAAACCCAAAAGAUGCUUCGAGCAUGGUAAGAGAAACUUUAGUUCUUAACUAAUGUGCACUAUGCUCUAAUUUCAAAUUUAUAUCAUUGAUGGUUUAUGUCUCCCUACGUGCAACAGAACCUGGUGUGUGGGAAAAAUGUUUUGAUAGACAUGAGUAUACAUGCCGCAUAUGUCAAAGCAAUCCGCACUGCUCAACAUUUCAUUUACAUAGAAAACCAGUACUUCCUUGGAUCAUCAUAUAAUUGGACCUUGUACAAUGAUUUAGGUGAGAACUCUUAACGUUAGUAGCAGGGGACUGACAAAGGAAAUAAAAGUGGUGGAAACAUGUCAGUAUUCCUGAUGUAGGAACACACAGUAUACUUUCCUUAUUUUCCAGUCUUGUAGUUGCGUUAUAUGCUGAAUGUGAUUGAAUCUCCCAGACUGACAGGACCUUUUAACGUUCUGGGAACUAAAUUAUACUGAGGCCCUAGUAGUGUAGCUUCCACCCACCUCCAAAAUGUGAAUCUCUUUAAUUUUUUAAGAAGAGAUCAAUAACAAAUCCUUGAUGACAAGAAGAUAGUCUGCGAAUGUCAUUUGCAUUAUUUGUUAGAUCCUAUCUUAUCGUCUUUCCAACUGAUUUAUCGUCAUACUGAUAAUGGUGAUAAUGCCUUUAUGUGCAGGUGCAAACAAUUUAAUACCAAUGGAAAUUGCUCUCAAAAUUGUGAAUAAAAUUAAAGCAAAUGAGAGGUUUGCUGUGUAUAUUGUUAUCCCCAUGUGGCCGGAAGGUGUUCCUACUAGCACUCCUAUUCAACGAAUUCUCUUUUGGCAGGUAAUCUAGUUACCAUAAAAUAAUGCAGGUUGUAGAUUUUAAUGAACUAUUGUUCAAUUGAGACUUUUCAGAAUUCAAAAUGUUAAACACAGAUUAUUAAUCCCUACCCUAGAAAUAGCAAGAGAUGUACACUGUUCAUAUUAAUCAGAAAUACAAGAUGUAGUCCAAAGCUCUCUGCUGCGUUUUACAUUUUCUGCUUUGCAUCUUUCAAUUUCAAUAAGCCUUGAUUCCUAUCAAUUAAAAUUUUUGAGAAUGAAUACUGUACAAAUGAAGCUCUUGGUGUCCUAGUAAAGUAUCUGCUGAUUCCAAACUUAAUUCAACUUAUCUUUAAAAAUAUCCACUUUUGGUUUCUGACAUGUUGGAAUGAUUACUGUUCAGACGUAGUGCUGUCAAACAGAAUUCAUGAGCCUAUUGCUGCUUGUUUUUCACCUGUUGUCUUGCUUUGUUACUGCAGCAUAAAACAAUGCAAAUGAUGUAUGAAAUGAUUUACAAGGCUCUACUGGAGGCUGGACUUCACAAUAGAUAUUGUCCCCAAGACUAUUUGAAUUUCUUUUGCCUCGGUAAUCGUGAGAAACCAAGUGGUGAAGAAAGUUCUUCUGCAAAAAAAUUAAAUGAAGCAAACAAAAAAGAAGCAAACACUCCUCAAGUAAGUCCCUCAUACUUAUCUCAAGUCUCCAGUAGAUAUCUUGUAUUCUCUCAUCUAGAAUCCCAUAUACUAAAAAAAAAAUUGUGCUGGUUUUGGUAACCCAGGCACUCACUCGGAAGAACCGGCGCUUUAUGAUUUAUGUUCAUUCAAAAGGAAUGAUAGUGGACGAUGAAUAUGUCAUAAUUGGAUCUGCAAAUAUCAAUCAGCGAUCCAUGGAAGGUACCCGAGAUACUGAAAUAGCAAUGGGGGCUUAUCAGCCUCAUCAUACUUGGGCAAGAAAACUCUCAAGUCCACAUGGAAAGGUAACAUGUGAAAACUGUGUGUGUGUGUCUUUGAAGCCGAUAGAACUCAUAGAAGUAUCUUGCACAUGAUGAAAUGAUAAUUCAUUCUUAGAACUCCAACCAAUAUAGACUGUUAGACGCCAGAGCAUACAAUUUUAUGGAUUGUGUACGAAAGUUAAUUGGUAACCCAUGUGUGAUUGCAGGUAUAUGGAUAUAGAAUGUCACUGUGGGCAGAGCAUAUAGGACUUGUUGAAAAAUGUUUCAAGCAGCCAGAGAGUCUUGAAUGUGUCCAAAGAGUAAGGACUUUGAGUGAGCAGAACUGGAGUCAAUACAUAGCCGAUGAAGUCACAGACAUGAAGGGUCACCUCCUGAAAUAUCCGGUUGAAGUUAGUCCAACCGGCAAGGUGGAGCCUCUUCCGGGAUGCGCAGCAUUUCCAGAUGUUGGCGGCUACAUAUUGGGGAGUUCUGACGUUCAGUUUACAGAGUUGACAGGAGAUUUUGAAACAACAGGAGAUGUUCGGUCCAUGGCUUGUAAGUUAUUAUCAGCUCUGUCUCUCUGUUUGGUGAUUUGUUGGAGGUAUCUCCAGCUAGAAUCUUUUUCUAGAAUUAUUAUUACUACACUUUCCAACAGGAAGCCUAAACUCUCAUAACUAUGUAGGAGUAAAAUGUCACAAGUAACACUUAUGACUUCUAAGUUCGAUGACACUUCACUUGUUAGCGUCAUUUAAAUCACUAUACAUUUUGGUUGUUUCCAGCACUGUGAAUACAUUUGUUGGUUGCUUGACUGUUAUUGAGAAUCCGUUUAGAUUUUGUUGUAUUUCAGUGUCCUGACCACCACCCUAAAAUCAUCCACAUCUCUUACCAGCUCCCCAGCCUGAGCCAGCUCCUGUGAAGAAUGAUGUGCUUUCAGGUUUCGGGAUGGAAGACGCUCGCAGGGGUAUUGUAGCCCAUUCAGACCAUGAAUUGGAAAGCACAGGAAUAAGUAGAACAUUCAGGGAUGAAGACCACUUUGAAAAAGGGGUAGCCCUCCCAUCUACAUCACCAGUUAUUGGGCAAAAAAAUGAUGAGUUUUUGAAUACCAGGGGAGAGGACAAUCAUAGGGGUUUUGUCACCCAUUUGGGUCACGAAACACAAAACACCGAUGAAAAUCAUCUUGAAGAAGAGAUACCUGUCCCCUCUACGUCUCCACCUUCACCAGCUGUGGGAGAUCAUCGGGUGAAGUAUGAUGUGUUUUUGAGUUUCAGGGGGGAAGAUACUCGAAAGGGUUUUAUCGCCUAUUUAUACCGUGAAUUGCAAAAAACCAGAGCGAUUAAAACUUUCAAGGAUGACGCGCAACUGAAAAAAGGGACUGUUAUUGCUUCAAAUCUCCUAAGGGCAAUCGAAGAAUCAAGGUUUGCGAUUAUUGUGUUUUCCGAGAAGUAUGCUGAUUCUGCAUGGUGUUUGGAUGAACUUACAAAGAUUUUUCAAUGCAUGGAGGGUAAGGACACAAUUCUCCCAAUUUUUUAUCAGUUGGAUCCCGCUGUUGUACGAUAUCAAAAGAAAGAGACCAGUUUUGGUGAAGCUUUCGUCAAGCAUGAAGCUAGACAAGACAUUGAGAAGACGAACCAGUGGAGAGCUGCAUUAAAAGGAGUGGCAGGAAUCUCUGGGUGGAAUUCAAACACUUUUCCGUAAGCAUAUGUUUACAAUACUUGGUACUUUCAAUUUAUUAUUUGGAUGAAGAUUAUUUUGAACCCUUCUUCCUUGUAGGACGGAGGUAGAACUAAUCGAUGACAUUGUGAAACAUUUGUUGGAAAAAGUACUUCAAGCACCCACCAGAACUUUUGGAACAUUUGAAGCGACAGGGCAAGUCAUGGAUGAGGUCAUGAAGGUGUUAAAAGAUGAUCAAGUCACUGUCCUUGGGGUGCAUGGAGUAGCUGGCGUUGGAAAGACGACUAUGGUCAAACAUGUUGGUGCACAAGCUGAGAAAGAUGGGCUUUUUGAUCGUGUGAUUAUGGUUGUCAUAUCCAAAAGCCCUGACUUGCAAGAAAUUCAAGGCACGCUAGCAGAUUCAUUGGGCCUGAAGGAGGGGAUCAAGAGAGGAGAUAGGAUGCUUAUAAUCUUGGACGACAUUUGGGAGAGUUUUGAACUCUCAGGCAUUGGAAUUCCCGGUCACCAUGAGCUUCAAAACUGUUACUCUAAAGUUGUAAUCAUCACAAGGAACAGCAACGUCUGCCAUUCUAUGGGGUGUCAUGCCCAGAUCGCUCUCAAUAUUCUAUCAGAUGAAGAUUCUUGGAAGUUACUCAAAGAGACCUCGGGGAAGUCUUUUGAUGAAUCUGCAAAUUCCUAUGAUGAAGAGAGGAAGGUAGCUCAAGAAUGCAGAGGUCUCCCAAGAGCAAUAAAAGCAGCUGCAAGGUCACUUGGAGAUAAAUACCGGGAUGAAUGGAAUGAAGCAGUUGCAAGGGAAUUUGGAGGCUUGGACGAAUGGAAUGAAGCAGCUCAAGCCUUCAACCUUGAAGCUGAGAAGGGCUCUUUUCAUUCAUUGGAGGAUACAUAUCACUCACUGGAAUCUGAUGAUGCCAAGUCAUGCUUCUUGCUAUGCUGCUUAUUCCCAGAAAAUUAUGAUAUCCCAAUUGAGAAGUUGCUCAAGUAUGGGAUUGGAAUAGGUUUGUUUCAAUAUGAUUCAAUGCAAGAAGCCAGAGAUAGAGCACAUUCUGUGGUUAAGUACCUCAAAGCUUCUAGAUUACUUCUGGAGGGUACAAAGGAGGGAUGUGUAAGGACGACCGAUGACAUUCGAAAUCUGGCAUUGUCCGAGGAAGGCGAUGGGCUUUUAGUAAAAGCUGGUUGUGAGCUAGAGGAGUGGCCAGACGCAGAGGCAGUAUGGUCGCAAGGUAUGCCAGUAAUGCCACUGCAGCCCUUUAGAUUUUAUUAUUAUUAUUUAUUUAUUUUUCCUUUUUUAACCAUCACAAAUUCUAUUUUAUUUGUGGCUAACAAUUUCGCACUCUUAGGAUUGACUUGGACCCAUUCCUGGCACUGGGAUUGUCCAAUUGAUACUCAUGAAGGCUACUCAAUAAUCUCACUAAUGAGAAACAAGCUUCACAAGCUUCCUGAAUAUUUGGUAUGUUCAAAGCUCCAAAUUUUGUUACUACAAAGUAAUGCUGGUAUAUGUGACAUUCCAGAAACCUUUCUUCAAAGUCCUAGUGCGCUAAGGGUCUUUGAUCUUAGCUUCACCAGUAUUUCGUCACUACCUCAGUCAUUCAGUUUCCUAACCAGCCUCCAAGCUUUGAAUUUGGAUUUUUGCAGCAAUUUAAGUGAGAUAUCUGUCUUAGGAAAUCUUAAGAAACUUGAGAUUCUUAGUAUGAGAGAACUUCCUCUUAAGAAUUUACCAAAACAAAUAGGAAAUUUGACCAGUCUGAGGAAGUUGGACGUCACUGGUAGAUAUCUUGAAACAAUCCCAUCUAAAGUGUUAUCGAAGUUGUGUAGAUUGGAAGAACUGCACAUGAAGUUUCAAUUUGGGAAGUGGGGAAGUAAAAUUGAGGAUGCAUCUGAAGAAACCAACGCUAACUUUGAUGAGUUGACUAGUUUGCUGGAUUUAAACAUUUUGGAAGUUUACAUAUCUGAUGCUACAUGCUUGCCUCAAAGUGUUGAGUACUUCAACCCGAAUUGGGUAGAAUUUGAUAUAUGCAUCAGCAGGGACGUGUUGCUCCCUCGAUAUGAUGGUUUUUCAAGAACCUUGACUCUUGACACAACAAUCAAUAGCUUACCGGAUUGGUUUAUCAGCGUUGUGACAGCGAAAGUGGAGCGGCUAGAGUACACAAAUUGCGAUGAUUUGAAUGACCUUGUUGGGGAAUAUGACCAUGGCAGAUUAUUUGUGCUGAAAUAUCUCUCUGUGAACGGGCACCAUAAGAACUUGAAAGAGAUAAUCAACACAAUGAGACGGGUUUCAAAUAAACCGGUAUUUGAGAACUUGGAAGAUUUGCAUCUGCACUGCUUAUAUUCCCUCGAGGAGUUGUGUGUUGGUGAGCUACCACCUGGGUCCCUACGCAAGCUCAAGUUAUUGAAAGUGCAAACAUGUCAUAGCUUGGUGAAUGCACUUUUACCAUUGACAUUGUUGCCGAGAUUACAAAAUCUGGAAAAAAUCAUUUGUGUACAUCUGGACAGAAUGAAAUAUGUUUUUGGAUCUGAUGAAGGGGGUGUUGAUUCAGAGAAGAUUUUCUUGAGGAAAUUGAGGGAGAUGAGAUUGUGUGCUCUAGAAGAACUAGUAAGAAUAUGCAACGGUCCUGCUCCGCAUGCAAUCUUCCAGAAUCUAAAAGUUUUGGCAAUCUGCGAGUGCAAGGAACUGAAAAGCCUCUUCACAAUAGACGUUGCUAAAUGUCUUUUUCAGUUGGAAGACCUUUGCAUAGAGCAGUGUCCUCGCUUGGACAGAGUCAUUGAAGCAAGCAAUAGCUUGAACAGCGAGAUUACACUUCCGGCGUUGAAGAGAUUAGCUUUGAUUGAUCUUCCGGUGCUCACAAGGUUCUGCACUGAAAGUGGUAAUAUUGAAACUCGGUGUCGGUGCCCUUCAUUGGAAUACUUGUACGUGGAGAACUGCAUCAAGUUUUCAUAUUAUGCAAACUUCCACUUCAGUAAGAAGCAAAUUCACUUCAAUGAUCAACACCAUUUGAGUUCUCUAGUGAAAAGGUACGUGUUGUCAUAAAUUUCAAACAUUUAUUUAUUUAUUUAUUUUUUUCUGUUCCUGAGUCUUUUUCUUCCUCUUCUGAGUCGUUUCUCCAGCAAUCCCAAAUGUCUUUCCAGUCAUUUAAGCAUUGUCUAAUACUCUAUUUCCAGUCAGAGAAGUGAAGUAUUGAAGUGUAAACAUUGAUGAAACACCUCCUAAUUAAAUUGGUGACUUAUUUACUUCUUUUCAUUUCAAAAUGACUUGUCAGGUGGAAGGAAAUGCAUAAUCAGCUAUAAGAGAGCUGCUGCUGCACUAGGAAAAAAGAGAUGUUCAGUAGUCCCAGAACAAGAUUACUCAGUUAGCUGUAUGAAUGCUAUUAUUAUCUCUUAGUCUUGCAUUGGCCUGCAAUCUUUAUGUUGGAAACUUUUGAUUAAGAGGGUAUUUAAAAAAGUAACUUGGGGUUUGACACAAUGACACAGCAAUUUGAACAACAGGACUCUAAACUAGAGAGAACACUACGGAAAAAAAAAAAAAAACCCAAACUAGAGCAAAGAGGGUACACCAGAAGAACAUUUCUUUUUUUUUUCUUUUUCUUUUUGAAAAGGAUAACCUAUAUUGCUUAACCAAUGACCAAAAGACAGUACAUCAAAAUGCCAUUCUCCACAGUGUUAAGGGAGGUUUACAAGCACCAAAACAUGUACUUUUACUAAUUACACAUAGGCUCAAAAGAAAAUGAUAAAAAUUUUAUUACCUAAUUCCAUAGAACAUAAUAUUAGCUGCUUAAGACCUCAAUUGAUAUAUACCUAACAAACUUAAGAAUUAAACAAAAAAAGUACAUCUGAUGCUCAGGCAUAGACGCCCGAGGCCUAAGUGAUGCCCCUACCCUUAGCAUUAGGGCGAGCCAUCAACCUAGCUGCAAAAUUAGCCUUCUUAGCUUGGAACCCAGGACCAUCAACCUAAGCCCAAUCUUGACCAGUCUUAGAUUUGAGCCCAAACCCAAGCUUGAAGACCCGGCCCGAAUCCGAGCCCAAACCUAGGUAAAAGUUAACCUCCCAACGAAGGAAAUUGACUUCGCCAACGACCACCUCCCAAGCCACCUCCCUCCUGCCCAACAAACGCCAACACCACAGCUCGAGCCGCGAACAACCUUAAUCAAUUUGGAACCCAAACUUAUCCGUUGAACCACCGCAGCCCGGCGUCCCCGUCCAUCUGCCGUCGUUGUUUCUGACGACCUAGCUUCCUUGCAAAGACUCAACUCAAUUCCAGAUCGGCGAAACCCAAUCCAGACUCGUAUUGCCAAACCGCUCCGCAAAGAUCGGAGCAUCGUGGCCUUUUUUUUUUUUCUCGUUGUGAAUGAUAGUGGACGAUGAAUAUGUCAUAAUUGGAUCUGCAAAUAUCGAUCAGCGAUCCAUGGAAGGUACCCGAGAUACUGAAAUAGCAAUGGGAGCAUAUCAGCCUCAUCAUACUUGGGCAAGAAAGCUCUCACGUCCACGGGGAAAGGUAAAUCGAUCAAAUGAUAUACCCUUGAGAAGAAUUUUAACCAAUAUGUUAAUUUGAAUUUGCUUGAAAUGUCUGAUUGCAGGUAUAUGGAUAUAGAAUGUCACUGUGGCAAGAGCACAUAGGACUUGUUGAAGAAUGUUUCAAGCAGCCAGAGAGUCUUGACUGUGUCCGAAGGGUAAGGACUCUGAGUGAGCAGAACUGGAGCCAAUACGUAGCUGAUGAAGUGACGGACAUGAACGGUCGUCACCUCCUGAGAUAUCCUAUUGAAGUUGAUCAAUUCGGAAAUGUGAUGGCUCUUUCCGGGUGUACAGACUUUCCAGACGUCAAUGGAUACAUAUUGGGGAGUCCCGGCGACAUAAGGAACAUUCUAGGGAUCAGAAGGUUUGUGCCGUGGGAAUUACCAUUCCCAUGGAAGAAGAGAGAAAAUGUCACCACCUGCUCUAUCAUGUGAUUUUGUUCAUUUCUUUUACCUUUGUUCAUAUAUUUGACCUCCUAUGUUUUUAUAUUAUGUUUUCUAAUCUUAACUUCUUAACUAUUCAUAUAUGUGUGUAGAAAUAUGUCAGUCGUGUAUUGAAGAUGUUUUAUUGUAAUAAUCAUUGAAUCGUGAGUUUCUUUUUCUUUUUCUUUCCUUCUUAAGGUGGGAUCUUCCAGCUCGGCCUAGCCCACUAAAAGCUCGAUUCGCUUAUCUUUCGCGAAAAUUAUACAGAUAACCACGCGCCCAAAUUUCGUCCAGCCCAAAUUUCUUGUUUUCUCCUCAUACUGAUAACCACGCGCCUAAGUCUUCGUCUUCCUCUUGCUCAUUUGGUACAGAAGACUUGGUCCAUUCUGGGGUUUCCAUUCUUCGAUCGAAAGGAGAUUAUAGAUAUAAGCAACUUGCCUAGUUGUACCUUGUUUUGCAUGCUAUUCAUUUCAACUACUCCCACUUGUUUUGUGUCUGUUAAUUGAACAAUGCUGCUUCUGGGUCUUCGUCUUCGUGUUCCAUUGCUAGUCCACUCUGACAGCUCAAGUGUUGUUCUUUGGAUUCCUUUAAUUAUAUUAAUGGUCUCAAGCUUAGCAUCUUCUGCAUUGUCAACACCCAUUACAUGUUUGGUGCCUAUCAUUUCAGUUUUGGCCAACUCUCUCUGGUUUUCCAGAACUCCACCAUAUCUGUGUACCACCCAUUUGAUAGCUUUACUUGCUUCAGUGUUGAGCAACAGGACAUUUUGGGGUCUAUGUGAACUGGGUUUUUGCACAUACCCCGAAAGUUUGGGCCUUUAUUGGAUUUCGGGUUAGUGUUGAAAUUGAAUUUCAUUGAGAUUUGUUUGCAAAUCUAGUAUUAGUUCAACUUCUUUGAAGAGGUUAGAGGUAUUCUUUGAUGGCCAAUCUGGGUUAUAAGGAAUCGCUGUCAUUUGGAGGCUCAGGCCAUGCGCAGGGGCAACAAGUUGUGCCAUUUGAGAGUGGUGCAUUGAAGCUUUUGCUACAUGGGGCCCUAGUUAUAUGUGUCAAUGAGGCCAAGAACCUUCCUGCCAUGGAGGGUUUGCAUAAGCAUAUGGGGCGUGUCAUUGCGAAAGUGCCUGGGAGAAGUAGCAAAACAACAACCAGUGCUCCCUAUGUUACAAUUGCACUGUCAGGUGCUGUAGUUGGGAGGACCUUUGUGAUUAGUAAUAAUCAGAACCCGGUUUGGAAGCAGCAUUUUGAUGUUCCGGUCGCGCACUAUGCUUCAGAAGUGCAUUUUGUUGUGAAGCAUAAUGAUAUGGUGGGAUCUCAGAUCAUAGGUUCUGUGGGUAUCCCAGUUGAAGAGUUAUACGCUGGUUUUAAAAUUGAGGGAACCUUCCCUAUUCUUAACUCCACCGGUCAUAUCUGUAUGCCUGGAGUUGUUUUGAGCUUAUCAAUUCAGUAUACCUCAUUUGAAAAGUUGACCUUUUAUAAUCGUGGGAUAGGUUCAGAUCCUGAUCAUCAAGGGGUCCCUGGUACUUACUUUCCUCUUAGGAGAGGUGGUAAAGUAACUCUGUAUCAAGAUGCUCAUGUUCCUGAUGGUUGCCUUCCCAAGUUUGAGCUUGAUGGUGGUCUUGAGUAUAAGCAUGGAAAUUGUUGGCAAGACAUAUUUGAUGCAAUAAAUCAGGCGCGUCGCUUGAUAUACAUUACUGGGUGGUCAUUGUACCACAAAGUUACUUUGGUUCGGGAUAAUCAUGGUGCAUCAAAUUGCACAUUAGGGGAUCUUCUUAAGAACAAGUCACAGGAAGGUGUGAGAGUGCUGCUGCUUGUAUGGGAUGAUCCAACUUCAAGGGAUAUUAUGGGAUCUAUAAAGGUAAAGCUUAAGGUGAUUUUUGUAUAUUAAGUACUUGAUUGUACAAGUUACUAUCUGUCAUUGUUAAGUCUCUCAAAUCAUAAAUGCCUUUGCCUAUCUGAUAAGUUGUCAUCGGGUGAACCAGUACUGAUUGGUACUUGUAGCUAUGGAAAAGCUAUUUUUGAUUAUCUAAUUGGUAUUUUCUUCCCCUAUUAUUUUCCUUAGUAAUGAAUGUGAUACAAAGGCUAUGUUUUUGGCUGAACUGACAAGAUUUAUCCUUUCUUUAUCAGUUCCAGUGUUCGUUUGUCACUGAAUUACUCAUCACUACUCAAAUCAGCAUUCAAUAUAUCUUAUUUCACCAGAUAUUAUUCUAUGAUGUGUAGGGAGGGCUCAUGAAAACAGAUGAUGAGGAACUUCGACGUUUCUUCAAAAACUCUUCAGUCCAAGUGCUUCUUUGCCCUCGAUCUGCUGGAGAGGGUACCUGGGCCAAAAAGCAGGUUUGGUAGAAUGUCUUUCCUUGUUUGCCUUUCUUUCUUUACAAACUUUUUACAGUGUGGUGCUGAAAUCUAUUUACAAGAAAUAAGAACUAACAUUUCAUAUGGCUGACAACUGACCAACUUUAAGUGUAGGUUGAAUGGUCUGUGUAGUAAUGUGCCACUAUGUUAAAUGUUUUCUGGCUAAUGUGUGCAAAGAAUGUCUCUUUUUUACAUGUCCUUGUUCACCGUUAUACUUCUGGGACAUAUCUGGUUUAUCUUGUCCUGUGCUGUUAACAUCAAAAGAAAGUCAUUUGUUCUCUUCUCAUGCAUAAUUUUCUAACUAGUUCUUGCUUUGAACCUUCUGAUAUUUGUAUUUGGUUAUAGGAAGCUGGAAUAAUCUAUACCCAUCAUCAGAAAACUGUGCUUGUGGAUACUGAUGCUGGUCAUUCUAAGAGAAAGAUCAUCGCAUUUGUUGGAGGUCUCGAUUUAUGUCGGGGACGUUAUGAUACUCCAGAGCAUCCUAUCUUUAGGACGUUACAAACAGUGCACAAGGAUGACAAUCAUAACCCUACUUUCUCGGUAACCAUUGUAUUCAGUUUCUACCAUGCUGUAGUACAUAUAUUUGCUGUUCUUUACCUGAGAAGUGUACUCUUCUGGGUUAUGCAGUCUAAUUAGACAAGGCUCAUGCAUUACUCUACUAAGUGCUAUAAAAUGUUCUGUUUGAAAACCACACAAUACCUAAGCAGUGUCCAGGAUUAGAUGCCUAAUAUAUUUAUAAUACAGUGUUGAUAAUUUAGAAUACCUAAGCACUGGCCAAUCUUUCUCAAGUGUUUACCACACUUUUACGAUCCUAUAUGAAGCAUCUAGUACAAUUUUGCUAUUUUAUCAGCAGAUUUCUCACGAAAGUAUAAGUGAUGACCUUGAUGUUGGAUUUCUACAGUAACAAAUAUUAUCACAAGGAUAUCUUUUCUUCAUUUUCACCUUGUAAUCCCCUUGUUUUCUAUUCAUAAACAGAAGCCUGUUAUUGGGUGUCCAAGGGAGCCAUGGCAUGAUUUGCACAGUAAAAUUGAUGGUCCAGCUGCUUAUGACAUCCUCACCAACUUUGAGCAGCGUUGGGGGAUGGCUUCAAAACCACAUGGUCUUCAUAAACUGAAGGAACGAGGGCUUCAAAAGCUGAAAGCACGAGGGCUUCAUAAACUAGAAACACAAGAAGAUGGUGAUGUUGAUGAUGCAUUACUUAAGAUUGAGAAAAUUCCUGAACUUAUUGGGAUGACAGAGGUGUCUCGCUUGAGUGAGGAUGAUAUAGAAGCUUGGGAUGUUCAGGUAUGUUCGAUGUCAUUCUGUCAAUCAGCUAAUAUCCUUGUUUUUUCUUGAAUCUAUAUGCAUAGUUAUUUGUUGACCAUUUCAUGAACAAUAUUGUAGGUUUUCCGCUCAAUUGAUUCUAAUUCAGCGAAGGGAUUUCCCGAAGACCCCAAAGAUGCGACAAGCAUGGUAAGAGAAACUUUGUUUUCUAACUUUGCACUUUGAUAAGUUAUACCACAUACUUUGUGCUGAAUUGCUAAUAGAUCACCAACUCUCUCUCUCUCUCUCUCUCUCUCUCUCUCUCUCUCUCUCUGCCAUAACAGAACCUGGUUUGUGGGAAAAAUGUGCUGAUAGACAUGAGUAUACAUGCAGCUUAUGUGAAAGCAAUCCGUGCAGCUCAACAUUUUAUUUACAUAGAGAACCAGUACUUUCUUGGAUCAUCAUAUAAUUGGAACUCAUACAAUAAUUUAGGUAAGAACUCUAACCUUCGCAGCAGCAUUUUGGGAAAUGAACUAGAGAUGGUUCAUUACGUCUGUCAAUGUUCCCUUUCUCGUUUCAUUCGUGUCAUUAAUAUGAUGCUCAUCCGGUUACUUCAUAAACUGAGUCAUAUUCAGAGUCAGCUUUAUAUUGUAAUCACAAAUGCGAAAGCAUGAAGUCAGAUGGGUAUUUGUUGAUUAGAUGAUGAAUGUUUGGUUUUAUUAGACUCAAGAGUAUUACGAUUGGUUAGUAUAUUCAGGAUCAGGAUGUGGUAUCUUCUACAUUGAGCACCAACUAAAGAUUUUGCUAAUGUUUUUACCUUGUGCCCAUCUUGGUUGAAGUGUUUCAAGAAGGCACAAAGAGACAAGUAACUGUAUUAAACUUGUAUAAACUAUGCUUCUAUCAUCCUAGAGAUAUCAGCAAUAAUGCGUAUAAUGCCUUUAUCUGCAGGUGCAAACAACUUGAUACCAAUGGAAAUUGCUCUGAAAAUCGUGAAUAAAAUCAAAGCAAAUGAGAAGUUUUCUGUGUAUAUUGUUAUACCCAUGUGGCCAGAAGGUGAUCCUACAAGCGUUCCUAUUCAACGAAUUCUCCUUUGGCAGGUAAAUAGUUACAAUUUAUAUCUGUUAUUACUGUAGGCCUGUUUGCUAGUUUCUGCAGAUGCUACGAUGAACCUCCUCUUUUGGAGCUAGCUGUAUCUCUUUUCUCCUUAUGAAGCAUGUGUCAAAUCCAAAUUUAGUUCAACUUAUCAUAAGUACAACAAAUUAUCUUCUAACAAUUGGUAUGGAUCAUAAUUCAGUUUGAUUGUCGUCUAACACCAAUGCUGUAACACAAACAUGACCUUAUGGGGUGCAUAUUUUCACCGGAUGUUAACCUUUGUGCAGCAUAAAACAAUGCAAAUGAUGUAUGAAAUGAUUUACAAGGCUUUAAAAGAUGUUGGACAUGAAAACACGUACUGUCCACAAGACUAUCUGAAUUUCUUUUGCCUGGGGAAUCGUGAGAAUGGAGAAAACAAUUCUGCUGCAAGUAAUCUAAGUGAAGCAAACACUCCUUAUGUAUGUUCCAUUAAUUGCAUUCUGUUAAGCAGAUAUUUUCCUCUAUUCCAGAAACUAUGUUUUCUAAUAUACUUCAAUUGUUUCUGUGGUUAUCUAGACACUUUCUCAGAAGAGUCGGCGCUUUAUGAUCUAUGUUCAUUCUAAAGGAAUGAUAGUGGAUGAUGAAUAUGUCAUAAUUGGAUCUGCAAAUAUCAAUCAGCGAUCCAUGGAAGGUCCCCGAGAUACUGAAAUAGCAAUGGGGGCUUAUCAGCCUCAUCAUACUUGGGCAAGAAAACUCUCAAGUCCACAUGGAAAGGUAAUAUGUGAAAACUGUGUGUGUGCGUGUGUGUGUGUGUCUUUGAAGCCGAUAGAACUCAUAGAAGUAUCUUGCACAUGAUGAAAUGAUAAUCCAUUCUUAGAACUUCAACCAAUAUAGACUGUUAGACGCUUAGAGCAUACAAUUUUAUGGAUUGUGUACGAAAGUAAAUUGGUAACCCAUGUGUGAUUGCAGGUAUAUGGAUAUAGAAUGUCACUGUGGGCAGAGCAUAUAGGACUUGUUGAAGAAUGUUUCAAGCAGCCAGAGAGUCUUGAAUGUGUCCAAAGAGUAAGGACUUUGAGUGAGCAGAACUGGAGUCAAUACAUAGCCGAUGAAGUCACAGACAUGAAGGGUCACCUCCUGAAAUAUCCGGUUGAAGUUAGUCCAACUGGAAAGGUGGAGCCUCUUCCGGGGUGUGCAGCAUUUCCAGACAUUGGUGGCUACAUAUUGGGGAGUCUCGGCGACAUAGGGAAGAGUCUAGGGAUCACUAGUAUUAGUGGGAGAGGGAUAUCAUUCAGAGCCAUGCAAGAAAAUCUCACAAUCUGAUUCUGAUCGAAGUUUAGUAACUUUCCUUCUUUCAAUCAUCCUUGUAAUUUUGUACAAUUUAAGGUAAAACUAAAACCACUUAAACUCUAAUUGUGAAUUUGUGAUCACUAUUUAACCCUUAACAUUACAAGUCUCGGAGAACUUCUUCAUAUUCAUCAACCGGCAUUCCGACUUGGUUCUGGACAGUGACCAUGACGUCAAGCUUCUCCCGGCGAGGUCCGGUUCGGAAAGCUUUAACAACGGCUUGUCGUACCUGGUGCACCAUCUCGUUAACCUCCUCAAACUUGGCGCCACCGUAAAGUGGACGGCCAAUUUUGGUGAUCAUCUGAUCGAUGACGCCGAUGUCGUCCUCGUCGACGAAGGUGAACAGCUGGUACUUGAGAUCUUUAAACUCGGCCGUUAGGAAAUCGAGGUUGACGACCCGCCUUGAUCGGUCGUCGGAGCAGUAGCACUUUCUGAAAACGUUCCACAUAAACGAGACGCUCAUUUGAUGAUCGUCUCGGAGUUUCCUUUUCCGACUGGAUUCUGGGGUGGUGGAGUCUUUAUUGCCGGCGACGUCAGAGAUGAAGAUGUGGAAAAGGAAGUCGAAAUUUGAAGACGGCAUCUUGAAGAAUCAGGGAAGAAUUGCAGAGCCUAAAAUGGAAGGAGUGUUUUUAUAUAGGCAUCGGAUGUUCUACAAUUAUUAGGAGUAGGAAAUGCUUUUUCCUUUCACGAAUAGGAGACGAGCAUUUUCCAAGUAUUAGUAGGAUUCGGUAAUAAGUUUUAGAAAUGGUUAAAAGUCUUUUCCAAGUCUAGUUAGGAUUAAUACUUCUUUCCAUAUAGUUCAAGGAUUGAUGCUUAUAUAUAUAAGAGCGGCACACACCUUAGAUUCUAUAUUUCAUUCUAUUUUCUCUUUGCUUUUAGUUGAUUCAAUCCAUUAGUUGCUCACCCGAGAGUAGUGCAUCAUCUUUCUCUUACUAGCUUUCAUUCCCUUACAAUACUAAUGGCAGUACCACCCAACCACCCGUUCAAGAAGCUCCUCAUCGUCGGUGACAAAGGUGUUGGGAAGACCAACCUUCUUCUUCGAUUCUCGGAUAUACCUAUAGCAGGGAUAGAACUUGGAGUGAAAACAAUUGAGUUGGGCAACGAAUUACCAGAACUUGCUACCGCUGAUGGUAUUUUGUUGAUGUAUGAUGUGACCAAUGAGUUAUCAUUCGAGCAUAUUCUUAAAUACAUGCAUAAUUUUCCGAAAAAUGUGAAGAAGAUACUGGUGGGGAACAAGGCGGACAUGGAUGAUGAGAGCAAAAGAGCAGUGCGGAGACGUAGAGGUCAAACUCUUGCGGAUAUAUAUGAAAUCAUGUUCUUGGAAACCAGUGCAGAGACCAACAAGAAUGUUGAAGACGUUUUCUUUGCAUUAGCCUUGAGCACUUAGGAUUACAGAAAGGUCAUGAAUCAUGAUCUUGCUGUUGCCUCUUUUUCUUGAACAAUUUUUUUUUUUUAAAUUUCAAACAAUCAUUUGUCAUCAAUGACGUUUAGAAUCAGUUUGUUCUUGUUACUUUGAAGAAGGCUUUGUAUUACUGUUUUCAAUGUCAAUUCUAGAAAUCUAGUCUAAUCUAGUCAAGUAUAGUUUUUCAAUCUAACCCAUUAUUAGACGUAACUUUGCGCCUAAAAGUUAAGGUAGAAAGUUCAAGUUAACCAAUUAGAUGCAUCUUUCAAAUUUUAUGUCGUAUUACAUCAUAUGAUUCAUAUCAUGCUCUCCUUUACGCAUCUCACAAAGACAUAGUGGAUCUAAGUAUCUCAAGGCCGCCUCUAGUGGGAUGUGAUAUGGAACGCAUAAGAACAUGAUAUCAAUUUGUAUUAUUCAUAUAAUUUGAGUAUGAUCACAUUCACACCCCCUUGAGAAUGAAGACUUCACACUCGAUUCUGUUAGCAGAACUAACAAUUCUGAGAUGGAUAGCCAGCAACAAAAGUAAAACUACAUUUUGGGACUGUACUUUCUAGACAUGUUCUAACUUCUAGGCCGAUCAUAGCGUAAUAUUUCUUUGCCUUUGAAAGAAAUGCAUUGUUACUUUCAUCGGCAGAACUAAUUAUAAAAGAGAAAAAUUCAUUAACGGUCUCUAAAUUAUUAUGUCAAGGCCAAUUUAAUAUCUGAAUUUUUAAAAGUAUCAAAGUGAUACCAACAAGAUACAUCCGUCAAUAUUUUACGACGGACCGUCAAUUUGCUGACGACACAGACAUAUAAAGACAAAAAAAAAGUUAAUUAACCAAUUUACCCUUCUUUCAUUUUUUUUUUUUUUGUUCUUGUUCUUGUUCUUCAUGUACAGCUACAACCUUGCCAGAAACAGACAUUUACAUCUGCACACUUGGCUUCUCUUUGUUCUUAUUCUCUCAAACGAAUCCUGACUACCGCCGAUUACAACCAGAACCCUCAGAUGCGGUCUUCUCCUUCCUCUUGUGCUUCUUGCUCUUCUCAACAAGCAUUACAGUACAGAUCCAACUAUCCAGCAAGUACCAAAAACCCAGGAAAAAAAAUCGGUCACCAACCCAACUAUGUCCACAAGUGAUUGGACACCCAGAUUUGUGGCAUCUGAAAGCUUUACAAUUCCGAGAUUAUUGAUGAGAAAGAGGCGAAGAAGAGAGAAUUUGGUUUUGGUGGCUCAAGCAAUUUGGCGACGCGCUUUGCAUGUUCGAGAGCGACCAGUCGAUCGUCUUCCUCCUCGAAUGCGGCUUCGAAUGAGUCCUUGGAUUGCUGCUUCAUUCUUCUCCGAAUUCGAUUCAAAUAAUCUCUCUGAUAAGUUUCUGCCCAUUCGAAUUCUAGUCCAAUACUUGCCUUGUUUGAAUGAGUUUGAGACUACUCAUCUUCAGAAAAGAAAAGAAAAAAACAGUCACGUCUAACUCUAAUCCCAUACUAGCCUUACAGCAUAGCUAUUCUUUUCACCACUGGUACAUUGCAGCAAGUCACUCAAUAUGGAAAAUCAUUGGCAAAAUUUGGGGAUCCAAAAUAUUUUAAUACUCCUCUGACUUUGAUCCGGAAAAGGUAGGAUGAAGAAUCAAUUUGGAGUUUUUUUUUUCGAUAGAGAGAACCAAUUUGGAGUUGUAGUAUUUGAGUUUUAUUUUUUCAAUUAAUUUUUCUGUGAGAUUUGACUUCUGGCUAAAAAGUCCAUUUUGUCCUUUUGUUUUGGGACCAAUGUGUUGAUACGUUAGCAAAUUAACAGCUCAGUCACAGAAAUUAGACGGAAGUAUCUCGUUGAUGUCAAAAUCAAUGUUUGGGUAUCACAUUGAUACUUUUUAAAUUUCGGGUAUCACAUUGACCUUGGCACAAUAAUUUAGGGACCGUUGGUGAAUUUUUCUGGUUAUAAAACUUGUUCCUAGUGGUCUACUAAACAUCUAUGGGCUUAGAUUAGGAGCCCAAAUUAGGCAAGAUUGAACCCAACUUCCAGAACACCCGCCUUAUAAUUUAUAUAGUUGCCUCCUUCCUCUUUGGAAAUGACAGCGGAACUCUGCCGGCUCCUUGGACCCAUUUUUGACUCAGAAGAAAACCACACACAUCAAACCAAACCCACCCGAAGUCUGCAACUCGUGGAACUUUCCAAGUACACCCUCAUUCACUUUCAACGCCAUUUUAUUUAAUUGUUCAUAUUCGUCUAAUUUCGCUUUGAAUAUUCCUGGUUACCCUUUAACAAUGCCAAAGUCUGCUCCUUUUUCUUCAUCAUCAUAUUCUUCUUGUUCUUCCUUCUCAUCCCAAAUUCAAAGGCGACGACUUCAUUCUUAUUUUCACUGUUUCUAGCCUACCCUCUUUUACUUUUUCAAUACCCAUCACAUUUUUAUUGAAUCCUUGGGGUUUUGGUGAGUUGGGUAUUUAGAAAGAACCCAACUUUAGUUUCUGUUUGAUAAAAGAGUCCAGAUUGAUCAUAUCCAAUCCAGUUUUGCUGCAAUGUCUAGUCAUGGUUAUACUGAAUCCUUGUCGUUUGGAGGCUCAGGCCAUAUUCAGGGUCAGCAAGUUGUGCCGUUUAGGACAGGUAGUAUAUCUCUGAAGCUUCAGCUGCUUCAUGGGAACUUGGUUAUAUUGGUCAAAGAGGCCAAGAACCUUCCUAACAUGGAUGCGUUUCACAAGACUCUGGGGGAUAUUGUUGCUAAAUUGCCUGGGACUGGCAGCAACAAGAUCACUAGUGAUCCGUAUGUGACGGUUUCAGUUGCACGUGCGGUGGUUGGGAGGACCUUUGUGAUUAGUAAUAGUGAGAAUCCUGUUUGGGAGCAGUAUUUUGAUGUUCCGGUUGCGCAUUAUGCUUCACAAGUGCAUUUUGUUGUGAAAGAUAGUGAUGUUGUGGGUUCACAGCUCAUAGGUGUUGUGGCAAUCCCAG
rnacentral:lncRNA from 1 species